GUCCAGGGAUGGGAAACGAACCCACAGUGUUCCGCUUACCGGGCAGAUGCCAUGUCCACUAGGCUUCCCAUCCCUGGA
rnacentral:tRNA from 1 species